rnacentral:lncRNA from 1 species
UUUCCAUAAAUACAGUUAUGGGGUUGGAUGUUAGGGAGAGGUGCAGAAGCAGGCAUGACUAGUACUAUUUUGGAACAAAUGAGUCAUAACCCCUUCUCUCCAGGAGUUCUGAGACACGCCUGUAAAUAUAUGACAAGAAAGGAGGCCUAAGGCCAUUUGAACCGUAUAAAUGGCAAAUGCUCGGAAAGUCAUCUUUAAUAGACAACAGAGUAUAGACAGAGGAAGUGAAGUUUUAAUAUGCCUGGAGUGAACUGAUGUGAUCACCAUGAGCUGGACAAUAAUUUUAAUUUUUAAUUUUUUUUUUCAGCUGCACCUGUGGCACAUGGAAGUUCCCAGGCUAGGGGUCCAAUUGGAGCUGCAGCUGCUGGCCUGUGCCAUGGCCACAGCAACACGGGACUUGAGCCGGGUCUGCGACCUACACCACAGCUCAUGGUAAUGCUGGAUCCUUAACCUACGAGCGAGGCCAGGGAUAAACCUGCGUCUUCAUGGAUACCAGCUGGGAUUGUUAAUGCUGAACCUCAACGGGAACUCCUGGACAAAGACUUUUAAAAAGUAAGCUGUGUCUGAAAACAAAAUAAAUCAGUUGGUGGCCAUGGAAUGCUAGUCCGAGUACUCUUAAAGUGUUAAUUGUUUGGGGGGCAAACAAUUCAUUAUGUCUGUGGUUGGGGUGGUGCUGCUAGUGCUAAGGGCCUGAAGGUUAGAGGAAAACUUUUCUUGCAGGUGUCAACACCACGGUUUACCUUCCCAGAUUGUGGCCCCUUCCAGGACCAGAAGAGGAUCUGACUCACUUUGUUUCCAAUGAUGCCCAACAAAGUACUGAGGGAAAAUGGAAUGUGUGGCAUGAUAAUGAGCCAACAAUGCUCUUUCCUUAGCCUGAAAACAGGACCUCGUUAACAAAACCAACCAACCCGACAUUUAGAUCAUUUCAUUUGAAUGGCUGAAAGGGUGGUUGUCAUUAUUCUGUCCAUCCAUCCAUCUGGCUAAAGUUUGAUUAUCCACAUAAGAAUAAAACUGCUCAGGGAUUAUGAGCAUUUGCUAAUUCCAGAAUCAUUCUGGGAAUAAAGUCACCAGAAAAAUGCAGUCCUAGGACUAUGUCCUGUCAAUAUGUCAGUUGUUCUCAACUUGAUUUUGAGAGUCAAAGAAAUCCCAAUCAAAACCCCAGCAAGUUAUUUUGCAGAUUAUGAGAGUUUAAUGUCUAAAGUUUUUUGUUUUAUGUCUAAAGUUUAUUGGGUUUUUUUUUUUUUUUGCCACGCCUGCAGCAUGUGGAAGUUCCUGGGCUAGGCACUGAACCCACACCACAACCCAUCAACCUGAGCUACUGCAGUAACAAACGCCAGAUUCUUAACCCUCUGAGCCGCACAAGGACUCUGUGACAGAUACAUUCUUAAGUUUAAAUAAAAAAGGCAAGAGACCCAGAGUAGACAACACAAUAUGGAAGAAGAACAAAGUUGGAGAACAGACACUACCUGACAAGACUUACCAUGAAGCUACAGUAAUAAAGACAGUAUGGUGUUGGCCAGAGAGUAGGCAGAUAUAUUGAUGUUGCUCUUUUUCUUCCCUUCUCUUGUUCUCUCCUCUUUGGGUUUGAUGACUAUCUUUAGUGUUAUAUUUGAGUUGAUUUUUGUUUGUGCAUCAAUUGUAGAUUUUUGGUUUGCAGUUAUUCUGAAGUUUUGAUAUGAGUCUCUAUGUAUAUGAGAUUGUUUUGAGUUGCUGUUCUCUUAAUUGCAAGUUCACCUCCAGUGUCCUGCAUUUGUACCCACCUCUUCUCAUGAUUUCUGAUUUUGGUGGCAUAAUUGUGCAUGGAUGAUUUUGUAUCUUUACUGUAUAUAUACCUUUACUGGUGAGCCUUGUCAUUUGUGGAAUUUUUGUUUCCUGUUGCUGUCUUUUCUUUUCUGCCUAGAGAAGUUCCUUUAGUAUUUGUUGUAAGGCUGGCUUAGUGUUGCUGAAUUCUCUCAGCUUUUGCUUAUCUGUGAAGGUUUUGAUUUCUCCUUCAAAUCUGAAUGAGAGCCUUGCUGGGUAGAGUCAUCUUGCUUGGAGGUUUUUUCCUUUCAUCAUGUUAAGUAUAUCAUGCCACUCCCUUCUGGCCUGCCGAGUUUCUGCUGAAAAAUCUGCCAAUGACCUUAUCAGGGUUCCCUUGUAUGUUAUUUGUUUCUUUUCCCUAGCUGCUUUCAAGAUUUUCUUUGUUAAUUUUGGUCAGUUUGAUUAAUAUGUAUCUCGGUGUAUUCCUCCUUGGGUUUAUCUUAUAUGGUACUUGUUGUGCUUUCUGGAUUUGAGUGAGUGGUUCCUUUCCCAUAGUGAGGGAAGUUUUCGGCUGUUAUGUCUUGGAAUAUUUUUUCUGUCCCCUUCUCUUUCUCUUCUCCUUCUGGCACCCCUAUAAUACAGACGUUGGUGCAUUUAACGUUGUCCCAGAGUUCUCUGAGACUCUCUUCAUUUGUUUUCAAUCUUUUUUCUCUUUUCUGUUCCGCAUUCGUAAUUUCUUCAAAUCUGUCCUCCACCUCGCUUAUUCAUUCUUCUGCCUCCUGUAUUCUGCUGUUUCAGUUAUUGUAUCUCGCAUCUCUUAAGUUUUAUAUCUUGUACCUCUUUGCUCAGUGUUUCCUGUAAGUUAUCCAUCUUUGCCUCCAGUUUAUUUCCAAUGUCUUGCAUCAUCUUCAGCAUCAACAGUCUAAAGUCUUUUUCCUGGAGGCUGAGACUCUCCUCAUGGCUUAGCUGAUUUUCUGGGGUUUUUCCUUUCUCCCUUGUCUGAGUUAUAGUUCUCUGUCUUGUCUUUUUAUAGGUUUUUGGUGUGGUGACCUUUUUACAGAUAAGAGAGUUGCAGCCUCUCUUACUUCUGGUGUCUGCCACCCUUGUGGCUGAAGUUGGUAUGGGGGGCUUGCUGUAGGCUUCUUGAUGGGAGGGGCUGAUGCCUGCCCACUGGUGGGUGGAGCUGAUUCUAAUCCCUCUGGUGGGUGAGGCUUAGUCUCUGGAUGGGAUUAGAGGCAGCUGUAGGCCUGAGGGGUCUUUAGGUAUCCUGUUUACUGAGGGGCAGGGCUGUGAUCCCACCUGGAUUGUUGUUUGCCCAGGGCCUUCUCAGCACUGAUGGGUGGCACCAGGUUUUCCCAAAAUGGCCACCUCCAGAGAAAGGCACAGCUGCUGAAUAUUGCUGAGAGCUCUGCUUCCAAUGUCCUUCCCUCACAACAAGCCACAUUCACCCGUUUUCCCAGGAGGUCGCUUGGGAAAACGAGAACUGCAGUCAGGUGUGACCCAGAUUCCUAUGGAGACUUAGCUUUGCCAUGGAACCCAGUGCACGUGAAAGUCCGUGUGUGCUUUUUAAGAAUGGGGUCUCCAUUUCCCCGAGUCCUAUGGAGCUCCUGUGCACAAGCCCCACUGGCCUUCAAUGCCAGAUGCUCCAGGGGCUCUUUCUCCCAGUGCCAGAUCCCCACACGUGGGAGUUUGAUGUGGGGCUCAGAACUCUCACUCCUAUAGGUGAGUCUCUGUGAACCAGUUAGUUUCCAGUAUGUGGGGGCUUCCCACCUGGGAGGUAUGGGGUUGUUUAUAUUGCAUAAUCACCCCUCCUACUUCUUGAUGUGGCCUCCUGUCUUCUGGAGUUAGGGUAUCUUUUUUUAAGGUUUCCAGUCCAUUUGGUUGAAGAUUACUCAGCCCUUAGUUGUGAGUUUUGUUGCUUUUAGGAGAGAAGUUGAGCUCCAGUCCUAUUCUGCCAUCUUAAUCCCAUUUGAGCUGUGUUCUUACACUAAGAGACUCCUUCUGUUCAAAAAUGCUGGAUGGUGGAGUUCCCGUCGUGGUGCAGUGGUUAACGAAUCCGACUAGGAACCAUGAGGUUGCGGGUUCGGUCCCUGCCCUUGCUCAGUGGUUAACGAUCCGGCGUUGCCGCGAGCUGUGGUGUAGGUCGCAGACGUGGCUCAGAUCCUGCGUUGCUGUGGCUCUGUCGUAGGCUGGGGGCUACAGCUCCGAUUCGACCCCUAGCCUGGGAACCUCCAUAUGCCGCGGGAGCGGCCCUAGAAAUGGCAAAAAG